rnacentral:rRNA from 1 species
UACGAAGGGGGCGAGCGUUGUUCGGAAUUACUGGGCGUAAAGGGCGCGUAGGCGGUGCACCAAGUCAGGCGUGAAAGCCCCGGGCUCAACCCGGGAACGGCGCUUGAUACUGGCGAUCUCGAGUCCGGGAGAGGUGAGUGGAACUGCGAGUGUAGAGGUGAAAUUCGUAGAUAUUCGCAAGAACACCAGUGGCGAAGGCGGCUCACUGGCCCGGUACUGACGCUGAGGUGCGAAAGCGUGGGGAGCAAACAGG